rnacentral:rRNA from 1 species
AAAAGGUGGCUAUACUACCGCUUUUGGAUGGGCCCGCGGCGCAUUAGCUAGUUGGUAGGGUAAAGGCUUACCAAGGCAAUGAUGCGUAGCCGAAUUGAGAGGUUGAUCGGCCACAUUGGGACUGAGACACGGCCCAAACUCCUACGGGAGGCAGCAGUAGGGAAUCUUCCACAAUGGGCGAAAGCCUGAUGGAGCAACGCCGCGUGGGUGAAGAAGGUCUUCGGAUCGUAAAACCCUGUUGUUAGAGAAGAAAGUGCGUGAGAGUAACUGUUCACGUUUCGACGGUAUCUAACCAGAAAGCCACGGCUAACUACGUGCCAGCAGCCGCGGUAAUACGUAGGUGGCAAGCGUUAUCCGGAUUUAUUGGGCGUAAAGGGAACGCAGGCGGUCUUUUAAGUCUGAUGUGAAAGCCUUCGGCUUAACCGGAGUAGUGCAUUGGAAACUGGGAGACUUGAGUGCAGAAAAGGAGAGUGGAACUCCAUGUGUAGCGGUGAAAUGCGUAGAUAUAUGGAAGAACACCAGUGGCGAAAGCGGCUCUCUGGUCUGUAACUGACGCUGAGGUUCGAAAGCGUGGGUAGCAAACAGGAUUAGAUACCCUGGUAGUCCACGCCGUAAACGAUGAAUGCUAAGUGUUGGAGGGUUUCCGCCCUUCA